UUUAGGAACAUUCUGCAGUGAAGUAGAAGAGACAGGGAUAUCCCAGAAGGUUAUGCAAAACAUCAAGAGAAGAUGAGAGGUACUCUGUGACGUCGAAGGAUAAGAAAGAUGAAGGGAUCAGGAAAAUGAAGAUUUUAGCUUCAUUCAUCUUAACGAGUUAACAGACAUGCUUUUCCCACUCUCCUUCAACACCCACAUAUCAAUUUCAUAUUUGUGGAAAGUUUUCACUUACAACACUCAAUAUAUACCACUUAGAAUUAUGAAAGGAUAUCCUGUAGGGCAGAUCCAUAUGCAGAAGAAUGAAACUAGACCCCUAUCUCUCACCAUACACAAAAAUCAAAUCAAAUGGAUUAAACACUUCCAUCUAAGACCUCUCACUAUGAAACGACUAUGAGUAAACAUUGCAGAAUGUUCGUCUGGGAAAAAAAUUUCUUGCCCCACAAGCACAGGCAACCAAAGUCAAAAUGGACAAAUGGGAUCACAUCAAGUUAAAAAGUUUCUGCACAGCAAAGGAAACUAUCAAUAAAACAUAGGGGCAACCCAAAGAACUGGAAAAAAUAU
rnacentral:antisense_RNA from 1 species